rnacentral:lncRNA from 1 species
AUUUCCAACCAACUGGCCCCACCACCACACCUUUCUCCUUACUCUACUUUAUUCUCAUGUCACAACUUCCGACAAAUUUGGUUCCCAAACCUACCAAAGGUCAAAAGCACAAAUUCUCUCACCAACUGACCCCACAAACUUAAAAAAUCAUCUAAUAACUCACUGACAAAUUUAUUGCCUAACGUUUCUCACUAUCAACAUCCUGUUUUCUCCCACUAACUUAACCUAGUAACAUAACAUAACCUGAAACUUUUCCUCAUCAUAACACUCUUUUAAACCUACUUCUAACUGCUACACUAACUCACCAACUUGCAAUACACUCUUCUUCAUCCAAUCCAUUAACAUCAAUAUCAAAUUCAUCAUUAUCUAUAUGUCUAACUUCCUAAUCAACAUUUCUCACCAUAACUAUCA